rnacentral:rRNA from 1 species
CAGUCGCCGCGGGAAUACGUAGGGUGCAAGCGUUAAUCGGAAUUACUGGGCGUAAAGCGUGCGCAGGCGGUUAUAUAAGACAGAUGUGAAAUCCCCGGGCUCAACCUGGGAACUGCAUUUGUGACUGUAUAGCUAGAGUACGGCAGAGGGGGAUGGAAUUCCGCGUGUAGCAGUGAAAUGCGUAGAUAUGCGGAGGAACACCAAUGGCGAAGGCAAUCCCCUGGGCCUGUACUGACGCUCAUGCACGAAAGCGUGGGGAGCAAACAGGAUUAGAUACCCCAGUAGUCCCUGUCUCUUAUAU